CCUACGGGAGGCAGCAGUGAGGCAUAUUGGUCAAUGGGCGAGAGCCUGAACCAGCCAAGUCGCGUGAGGGAGUACUGCCCUAUGGGUUGUAAACCUCUUUUGUCGGGGAGCAAAAGCCGGACGUGUCCGGCUGUGAGAGUACCCGAAGAAAAAGCAUCGGCUAACUCCGUGCCAGCAGCCGCGGUAAUACGGAGGAUGCGAGCGUUAUCCGGAUUUAUUGGGUUUAAAGGGGGCGCAGGGGGAGUUUUAAGUCAGCGGGAAAAUCGUGGGGCUCAACUCCGUCCAGCCGGGGAAACUGGGGAUCUAGAGUGUGCGGGAGGUAUGCGGAAUGCGUGGUGUAGCGGUGAAAUGCAUAGAUAUCACGCAGAACCCCGAUUGCGAAGGCAGCAUACCGGUGCACAACUGACGCUCAGGCACUAAAGCGUGGGUAUCGAACAGGAUUAGAUACCCUUGUAGUC
rnacentral:rRNA from 1 species